rnacentral:tRNA from 1 species
GACUCCGUAGCUUGGUGGAGGAAAGAAGCGCCUGUCUACCGAAUUGGGAGUCGUGGGUUUGAUUCCCACCGGAGCA